rnacentral:rRNA from 1 species
AGAGUUUGAUCCUGGCUCAGGAUGAACGCUAGCGGCAGGCUUAAUACAUGCAAGUCGAGGGGCAGCACGAAUAGCAAUAUUUGGUGGCGACCGGCAAACGGGUGCGGAACACGUACAGAACCUUCCUUCGAGUGGGGAAUAGCCCGAAGAAAUUCGGAUUAAUACCCCAUGGUAUUAUGAAGUGGCAUCACUUUAUAAUUAAAGAUUUAUUGCUUGAAGAUGGCUGUGCGCCUGAUUAGGUAGUUGGCGGGGUAAUGGCCCACCAAGCCUUCGAUCAGUAACUGGUGUGAGAGCACGACCAGUCACACGGGCACUGAGACACGGGCCCGACUCCUACGGGAGGCAGCAGUAAGGAAUAUUGGUCAAUGGACGCAAGUCUGAACCAGCCAUGCCGCGUGGAGGAUGAAGGUCCUCUGGAUUGUAAACUUCUUUUAUUUGGGAAGAAAUGCAUUUUUUCUAAAGUGCUUGACGGUACCAGAUGAAUAAGCACCGGCUAACUCCGUGCCAGCAGCCGCGGUAAUACGGAGGGUGCAAGCGUUAUCCGGAUUUACUGGGUUUAAAGGGUGCGCAGGCGGAUAUGUAAGUCCGCGGUGAAAUCUCCGGGCUUAACCCGGAAACUGCCGUUGAUACUAUAUAUCUUGAAUGCUGUGGAGGUAAGCAGAAUAUGUCAUGUAGCGGUGAAAUGCUUAGAUAUGACAUAGAAUACCUAUUGCGAAGGCAGCUUACUACGCAGAUAUUGACGCUCAUGCACGAAAGCGUGGGGAUCAAACAGGAUUAGAUACCCUAGUAGUCC